AGGAUCGGACUAGUCUAGUAGCUUCCACUUGGCCCCCAAGCAUUUCCCUUGUUGAACUAAACGUGUUUUAGUCUACACCCAUUCCCCAAUAUCUUAUGUUAUUAUUCUUGGCCUUUCCUUAGUGAGUUGAGUAACCGUUUUACUUACUUUCCUCACACUUGUCACGCAACUUCCUAUCCUGAUCCCCCACCCUCACUCCCAAUCCCAAAUAUAUAUAAAUCUAAUCUCACUCCUCAAUUUCAUAUCUCAAACUUCUUCAACAAUCACAACCAAAACUACUCCUACUCCUCUACCGCUCAAACUCUCUCAAAUGGCACUCGAAGCUCUCAACUCCCCCACCACCGCUCCGCCCUCCUUCCAAUUCGACACCGCCGCCUCCUCUCUGCCGUGGAGCAAAGGCAAGCGCACCAAGCGCCCCCGCAGCCACGAGCCCACUGAGGAAGAAUACUUGGCUCUCUGCCUCAUCAUGCUCGCUCGCGGCGGCCCCACCUCUACCUCCGCCUCCGCCUUCGCCGCGCCACAGAAGCAAGCGCCUAUUUCUCCACCGCGGCCGGCGGCCGAUCCUUCUAAACAGAUUUACAAGUGCUCCGUCUGCAACAAGGCUUUCGGCUCCUACCAGGCUUUGGGAGGGCACAAGGCCAGCCACCGCAGGCUCAGCGGCGGCGGAGACGACCACUCCGCCGCAUCCGCCUCCGCCGCGACCACGUCGGCCACGGCGAGUGGCAGCGGCAGGACACAUGAGUGCUCCAUAUGCCACAAGAGCUUCCCGACGGGGCAGGCCUUGGGAGGACACAAGCGCCGCCACUACGAUGGCGGGGCACCCAGCAGCAACGGCGGC
rnacentral:lncRNA from 1 species